UACGUAGGGGGCAAGCGUUGUCCGGAUUUAUUGGGCGUAAAGAGCGUGUAGGCGGCCAGACAGGUCAGCUGUGAAAACUCGAGGCUCAACCUCGAGACGUCGGUUGAAACCGUCUGGCUAGAGUCCGGAAGAGGAGAGUGGAAUUCCCCGGUGUAGCGGUGAAAUGCGCAGAUAUCGGGAAGAACACCCGUGGCGAAGGCGGCUCUCUGGGACGGUACUGACGCUGAGACUCGAAAGCGUGGGGAGCGAACAGG
rnacentral:rRNA from 1 species